AUGUACAAAGGGGCUGUCUACCUGAAUGCGCCCAAUGGAUUAACAGCAGGCUUGGACAGGUCCCAGUUAGGUCCUAUAGUACAUGCUAAAUGCAGGUCUGAGUCUAGUGUGGUUCCACUUGAUGAUUCUAGACAUGAUGAAGAGGGAAACACUGAAGAGGCUAGUCACAGAAAACGAAUGCGGAGUUAAGUAUAUUUGAUUGGCUUCUAAGUCUUCUGUAACGUAGAUUGAGUUUAGUCAUGUUAGUAGUAUGCUCUUCAAUUCUUUACGGUAGCGUUUGAGCUUGCAAUACUGUGGCUUUAUGCCAGAAACUUGUACAUGUAUAGUUGGACUUGUACCAUGCAUAUCAUCUUGCAGCAAAAGGUUACAAAUUUGCUGAUUUUGAUGUUCCAGUUGUGCUGAGCUGUCAAAACAUCCAGAGGGGAGAGGGACAUUUAGGAUUUUCUUUCAUUUUGAAAAAGCUUUUCUUUAUGUUAGGCUCUUAAAGAUGCCAGCCCUCCACGCACACACAGAGGCACACGCGCACACACAAAAAAAAAAAAGGAGCUGCAAUAUGGUUUAAGUAGCUCUAUACUAUGAAGAAACCUGGUAGCAUCUGAUGAAAUUUUUACGCUGGAGUUUCUGCGAUCUGUUUUGCUGCUUGUUUGACAUUCUGCAGGGAACUUAAAAAGCUCUAGCUUUCAUUAAGCAGAUUCUGUUUGAGGCUUUACUGCUCAAUUCUCAUCCAAGCGAUGGCUCAGUGGCAGCAAAAGCACAAUGGAGGCUUUUUCCCUUUUGUUUUGAACAUUUCCCUUUCUGUUCUUCAUGAUGUAACCC
rnacentral:misc_RNA from 1 species